rnacentral:rRNA from 1 species
GACGAACGCUGGCGGCGUGCCUAAUACAUGCAAGUCGAACGCACUCUCGUUUAGAUUGCAGGAGUUUGCUCCUGAUUGAUAAACAUUUGAGUGAGUGGCGGACGGGUGAGUAACACGUGGGUAACCUGCCCUAAAGUGGGGGAUAACAUUUGGAAACAGAUGCUAAUACCGCAUAAAACCUAACACCGCAUGGUGUAGGGUUGAAAGAUGGUUUCGGCUCUCACUUUAGGAUGGACCCGCGGUGCAUUAGUUAGUUGGUGAGGUAAAGGCUCACCAAGACAGUGAUGCGUAGCCGACCUGAGAGGGUGAUCGGCCACACUGGGACUGAGACACGGCCCAGACUCCUACGGGAGGCAGCAGUAGGGAAUCUUCCACAAUGGGCGAAAGUCUGAUGGAGCAACGCCGCGUGAGUGAAGAAGGUUUUCGGAUCGUAAAACUCUGUUGUUGGAGAAGAAUGUAUCUGAUAGUAACUGAUCAGGUAGUGACGGUAUCCAACCAGAAAGCCACGGCUAACUACGUG